CCUACGGGAGUCAGCAGUGGGGAAUCUUCCGCAAUGGGCGAAAGCCUGACGGAGCAACGCCGCGUGAUCGAAUGAAGGCCUUCGGGUUGUAAAGAUCUGUUGACAGGGACGAAUAAGCAAUGCAAAUAGCUUUGUGUAUGACUGUACCUGUUUAGAAUGCUCCGGCUAACUACGUGCCAGCAGCCGCGUCAAUACGUAGGGAGCAAGCGUUGGCCGGAAUGACUGGGCGUAGAGGUCGCGCAGGUGGUCGCAUAAGACAGGUGUGAAAGCUCCGGGCUCAACCUGGAGACUGCACUUGAGACUGGGUGUCUAGAGAGCAGGUGAGGAAAGUGGAAUUCAUAGUGUAGCGGUGAAAUGCGUAGAUAUUA
rnacentral:rRNA from 1 species